rnacentral:rRNA from 1 species
CAUGUAGGUAUCUGCCCUUUGGCCUGGAAUAACACGAGGAAACUUGUGCUAAUACCGGAUAAGUCUUUACGGAGAAAGCUUUAUGCACCAUUGGAUGAGCCUGCACUUGAUUAGUUUGUUGGUGGGGUAAUGGCCUACCAAGACUGUGAUCAAUAGCUGAUUUGAGAGGAUGAUCAGCCACAUUGGGACUGAGACACGGCCCAAACUCCUACGGGAGGCAGCAGUGGGGAAUCUUGCACAAUGGAGGAAACUCUGAUGCAGCGAUGCCGCGUGAGUGAAGAAGGCCCUUGGGUUGUAAAGCUCUUUCGUCGGGGAAGAAAAUGACUGUACCCGAAUAAGA